rnacentral:lncRNA from 1 species
CGGGGGAGCGGGGUCGGGAAGGGGAAAGGUGGGUGAGGCCUUUGGGGGGCACUUCGGGAUGAGACCUCUGGGGUGGCACGUCUGGAGCGGGUCGUGAGGGCACCCCCGGGCGGGCGGCCACCUCCGUGAGGGCACCCCCGUGAGGGCACCCCCGUGAGGGCAGCUCNNNNNNNNNNNNNNNNNNNNAGCGUGCAGGAGGAGUUCGAGGCCGUGGUGCUGGAGAUCGAGGGCGACCUGAGGCAGCUGCACUGGAGCGGCCGCGUUCUGCCCCGGCCGCGCUUCGGCCCCGAGGACGCUCCCGGCCCUGCCCCUGCAGGAUUUGGCGCUCCAGGUGCAGCCCGGCCUGCCCAGCCCUCUCCAGGGAAACCCUUGGAUCCAGGAGAGGCUGCAGAGAACAAAAAAAGAAAAAAACAGGAAAAACUGAUUCCUGGUGGAGCAGAGCGGGGUGGGGGCUGUGGGAACAUCCCCCUCUCAUCCCCCCUGCCCCGGGGGACAACCCCAGCCCCCAAAAACCCCAAAACCUGCCCAGAUUUGGGGCAUGGUGCUGCAGAGAACAAAACCAUUCCCAGAAAAACCUGGGANNNNNNNNNNNNNNNNNNNNGGGAGAAGCUGAAUCCUGGUGGAGCAGAGCGGGGUGGGAACAUCCCCCCUUCACCCCCCCUGCCCCAGGAGACAGCCAAAACCCCCAAAAACCCCAAAACCCGCCCAGAUUUGGGGUGUGGUGCUGCUGAAAGCCCUGAGGAAGAGGAGGAAGGAGCUCUGGAGUGGGACAGUGACAGCAGCGAGCUGGGAGCCAGCCCAGGAAUCCCAGAGGAGCUGCAGGGGCUGCCCCGCUGGGAGCUGCAGGCCCACAGGACUCGGCUGCUGCUGGAGCUGCUGUGGGUCCAACAGGCCAUUGCCAGCAGGAAACACUUCCUGCUGCUGAGGCAGAAGCUGGGUGUUCCUGACCAUCCCAGCAGCAUUCCCGAGUUCCUGGCCUGCUGUGGAGAAGCCCUGGAGCUGCAGCAGCAGCAGCCCUGA